CGCCCCCGGCUUUGCCCGCUCCGUACGCACCCCCUUCCAUCGUGGCUGCACCGCGCGGCGCCCCCCGCUCGGAGCGCGCCGCCGGCCCCUGCGCGUGCGCGGCGCCCCCGCCCCCUCCCCUGCGCUCGCCUAGCGCAGGCCGGGGCUCCCGCCAGGGGGCGUUCGUGCACGGCAGGUGCAGCUCUGGGAAGCUCGCGCUCAGAAGCUGGGGUCCCGGUGUGGGGCGCGCUCCCUGCCAGCGGGGUGACCUCUUUGCAAAAUAGCGCGUGAUCGGGGUGUGGACAGAGAGUACAGACGCGUCCGGGCCUUCUGGAGCCCUCUGAGCUGUAGCUCUUCAGGAAACUCUUUUCCUUAGCUUUGAAAAUAGGAUCUCACCAUGCAACACUGGCUGUCCCGGAACUUGCUCUAUAGACCAAGAUGGCCUGAAACUCACAGAGUUCCCCCCAGGGUUGGAUUUCAGGCAUGGGCCACUUCGUGAAGAAUAUAGCAGAAUACAAGGAGCCAUCUGGGUGCCUUAACACCCACCCACUGGACUCCCACAAGCCUUCAAUGUGAUGGGCCCUUGUCAGUCAGCUAUAGAUGGCUGUGUUCAUCCUAUGUAGUUGCCCUUGUGAAAGAGAUAUGUGAUAUCUUUCAGGUCCUGGUCCUGCUUCCUGGCACACAGCCUUUAAAGCUCUUGGAAUUGCUGAAUUGCUAUGUCUUUUUAUAUGCCAAUGAGUGAACGAGUGAAGGAGAGCCAUGAGCGUACACAGGGGCUGUGGUACCCUUAUACCGAAAAUACUUCUGGGAGGACUUUCAGCAACUCUGGUCACCAUCAGAUUAACAUCAUCUUUAUUAUUAAACACUGUGGCAAAA